rnacentral:rRNA from 1 species
GGCUCAGGAUGAACGCUGGCGGCGUGCCUAACACAUGCAAGUCGAGCGGGAUCUUGCUAAAUGACGCUUCGGUUGAUUUUAGUAAGUGAGAGCGGCGGACGGGUGAGUAACACGUGAGCAACCUGCCCUUCAGAGUGGAAUAACGUUUGGAAACGAACGCUAAUACCGCAUAACACCAUUGGAUGGCAUCAUCUGAUGGUCAAAGAUUUAUCGCUGAGGGAUGGGCUCGCGUCCGAUUAGGUAGUUGGUGAGAUAACAGCCCACCAAGCCGACGAUCGGUAGCCGGACUGAGAGGUUGAACGGCCACAUUGGGACUGAGACACGGCCCAGACUCCUACGGGAGGCAGCAGUGGGGGAUAUUGCACAAUGGGGGAAACCCUGAUGCAGCGAUGCCGCGUGAAGGAAGAAGGUCUUCGGAUCGUAAACUUCUGUCCUAAGUGAAGAGAAGAAGACGGUAGCUUAGGAGGAAGCCCCGGCUAACUACGUG